UAAGGAAUAUUGCUCAAUGGGAGAAAUCCUGAAGCAGCAACGCCGCGUGGAGGAUGAAGGGUCUAUGACUUGUAAACUCCUGUAAAGAAGGAAAAAAUUCCCAUUUGAUGGGAGAUGAUGGUACUUCUGGAGUAAGCCCCGGCUAACUACGUGCCAGCAGCCGCGGUAAUACGUAGGGGGCAAGCGUUGUCCGGAUUUACUGGGUGUAAGGGGUGCUCAGGCGGAUUUGUAAGUCAGAGGUGAAAUCUUAAAGCUUAACUGUGAAACUGCCUUUGAUACUGCAAGCCUAGAGUAUGGAAGAGAGUUAUGGAAUAUCUGGUGUAGCAGUGAAAUGCGUAGAUAUCAGAUAGAACACCAAUGGCGAAGGCAGUCACUUGGUCCAUUACUGACGCUAAAGCACGAAAGCGUGGGUAGCAAACA
rnacentral:rRNA from 1 species